rnacentral:rRNA from 1 species
AAAGCUCGUAGUUGAAUUUCGGGAUUGACGUGACGGUCGUGCCUUACGGGGUAUGAACUGUUGCUGUUGAUUUCUCACCUUCUGGAGAAACUUGAUGUCCUUAAUUGGGUGUCUUGUGGAUCCAGGACCUUUACCUUGAAAAAAUUAGAGUGUUUAAAGCAGGCAUUUUUGCUCGAAUACAUUAGCAUGGAAUAAUAGAAUAGGACGGCAUGGUUCUAUUUUGUUGGUUUCUAGGAUCACCGUAAUGAUUAAUAGGGAUAGUUGGGGGCAUUAGUAUUCAAUUGUCAGAGGUGAAAUUCUUGGAUUUAUUGAAGACUAACUACUGCGAAAGCAUUUGCCAAGGAUGUUUUCAUUAAUCAAGAACGAAAGUUAGGGGAUCGAAGACGAUCAGAUACCGUCGUAGUCUUAACCAUAAACUAUGCCGACUAGGAAUCAGACGAUGUUAAUUUUUUAAUGACUCGUUCGGCA